rnacentral:rRNA from 1 species
AGUGAACGCUGGCGGUAGGCCUAACACAUGCCAGUCGAACGGCAGCACAGUAAGAGCUUGCUCUUACGGGUGGCGAGUGGCGGACGGGUGAGGAAUACAUCGGAAUCUACUUUUUCGUGGGGGAUAACGUAGGGAAACUUACGCUAAUACCGCAUACGACCUACGGGUGAAGGCAGGGGAUCUUCGGACCUUGCGCGAUUGAAUGAGCCGAUGUCGGAUUAGCUAGUUGGCGGGGUAAAGGCCCACCAAGGCGACGAUCCGUAGCUGGUCUGAGAGGAUGAUCAGCCACACUGGAACUGAGACACGGUCCAGACUCCUACGGGAGGCAGCAGUGGGGAAUAUUGGACAAUGGGCGCAAGCCUGAUCCAGCCAUACCGCGUGGGUGAAGAAGGCCUUCGGGUUGUAAAGCCCUUUUGUUGGGAAAGAAAAGCAGCAGGUUAAUACCUCGCUGUUCUGACGGUACCCAAAGAAUAAGCACCGGCUAACUUCGUG